ACCACUCAAGCGUGACGUGUAAAGAAAUAAAACCCCGUGUCUGGUAUAUAACUCAGGCGACUUCUUGUUCACGUCACAUAUCACUUUCUUACACAACUGGUGUGUGCACUGUUUGGAAUUCAAUUUCAGCUCGGUAAUUCAAUUAGAGCCUGAAGGAUCUUCUAUAGUGGUGUGUUCUGUCUGAUGUUAAAGUCAAGUGGGGAGUUCAAAGAGUGACAGCUGCUGAAUGUGAUGUGAAGGUCAAGGUUAUUUCAAUCAAAUAGCUGCCACAGAUGACCAUAAGACUACAGUAAAGGCCAGUAGAGAUCUGUCACAUCAAGU